rnacentral:rRNA from 1 species
UUGGAGGGCAAGUCUGGUGCCAGCAGCCGCGGUAAUUCCAGCUCCAAUAGCGUAUAUUAAAGUUGUUGCAGUUAAAAAGCUCGUAGUUGAAUUUCGGGAUUAGUACGUUGGUCGUGCCUUCGGUAUGUACUGAUGUUACUGAUUCCUCCCUUCUGACGAACCGUUAUGUCAUUCAUUUGGUGUGGCGGGAAAUCAGGACUGUUACUUUGAAAAAAUUAGAGUGUUUAAAGCAGGCUCGCGCUUGAAUACAUUAGCAUGGAAUAAUGAAAUAGGACGUUUGAUCCUAUUUUGUUGGUUUCUAGGAUCGACGUAAUGAUUAAUAGGGAUAGUUGGGGGCAUUAGUAUUCAAUUGUCAGAGGUGAAAUUCUUGGAUUUAUUGAAGACUAACUACUGCGAAAGCAUUUGCCAAGGAUGUUUUCAUUAAUCAAGAACGAAAGUUAGGGGAUCGAAGACGAUCAGAUACCGUCGUAGUCUUAACCAUAAACUAUGCCGACUAGGGAUCGGAUGAUGUUAAUUUUUUAAUGACUCA